UCUACCUAGCUGAACGACACCACCUACUCCAUCUCCUAAGACUGAAACAUAGGAGAUGUCCCGGAUUCCUUCCUCACCCCCUCACCACCAUCCUAAUUAAAACAAAUGAAACAAAAAUACUUGGAAGGAAUUCAAAGAGAUGAAUGGGAAAGCACGGGAAUGAUAGGCUCAGCAUUCAAGAUGGUGGCUGCCUGGGCAGAAGCUGGAAGCAUGGAGUGACAGCAGAAGACAGACUUCAUGUUCAACACAUUAGAUUGUUCACCAGUGAAGAGCAAGGUUUUGGAGGAGAGAGGUAGGAGAUAAAAAAGAAUACAUAACUCCAGGAGCAGUCACGCACGGCCUCCAGAAUGGAACUGGUGAUAAUGGUUCAUAAACCAAGAAACACAAAUCAAGUCCACUUUGUACCUUUGUGUUUUAUUUUUUAUUAUUUGAUUAAA